AACGCACAUUGCGCCCGCCAGCAUUCUGGCGGGCAUGCCUGUUCGAGCGUCAUUGCAACCCUCAGGCCCUGCCUGGCGUUGGAGGACUGCACCCGCAGCCUCCCAAAGCAAGCGGCGGCGGCGCCCCAAAACCGAACGCAGUAGUUUUCUCUCGUUCUGGGACUGGGACGUUGUCUUGCCGGAAAACCCCCAACUUUUACGUGGUUGACCUCGAAUCAGGUAGGAAUACCCGCUGAACUUAA
rnacentral:misc_RNA from 1 species